rnacentral:lncRNA from 1 species
CAUUAAAUAACUUGAGUUUAUUUAUCGUCAAGUUAAAUUCAAUAAGUUAUUUAUUACACAAGUUACAAUAAUGACGAAGUUACACCGUCGCUCAAAAGUAUCUUACAGUUUUUCAACAUUUUCGUCUUUUUUCCUAAUUCUUCAAAAGUCUUACCGAGCGACUUACACAAAGUGACCGAAUUAUUUAUAAACUUUGAAAAUAUACGGAGUGAUUCAUAUAAAAUGAUCGAUAUUGAAUUUUUCUUAAUGCUUUUAAUGCUAUCGGAUAAAACAAAUGUAACAACAAAUUACUGUUAAGAAAUUUUAUGAAGAAUAUAGAACAACAUAGUACGCUUAUGAUUAUGUAUCGCUUCGACUAUUUACAGAACUAUGCACAAGAUUGUUGUAAAGUACUAGUAGAGUGAUUCCAAAGAAUAAACACUCGUCUGAAUGCCAUUGCUCAUAAUAAUUAAAAAAAAGAUAAGAUUACACUUAUGAUACAUUUUUUAGGCCCAAAUCAGUCUAUCUUCAAUAGUAUCUUUUCUUCUCCACUUCUAGCGUUUGAUAGAGGUAUUGCUUCUUCCGUAUCUUUAUGAUACUUGUAUCAUAGAAUCAGUAACGAAUGGAUUAGAUGAUUUAAACCAUUUAAAAAUAGUACUCUCAUGAUAUCUCUUAAUGGAUCAACCUAAUGGUGUCCCCAUACACUCUAAAUGGUCUCUUCCUGAUCUUAUAUAAGUCGGUUGCUUCUCGCUGAGAAGCAAGUUUGAGAUUUGACUUGCUUAAGUGCUAUUACUCGUUGUUGUGCUCGGGAAACUCCAUCGAACGAAGUCAUGAAAUUUAUUCUAUUUUUCUUGUUAAUCGCCGUUGGACAAUAUGCAGAAGUGACAUGUUUUGUGCCUUUCAACUAUGGAGAUAUAUUGUCCCAAUCAAUUAGACAACUUAGACAAGAAGUAGAUGAAACAGCCGUAGAUAUCCAGUAUAGGUUAUACACUGUAGCCAUUGAAAUCUUUGCGAAUGCUAUUUUUUCUUUACGGGAUAAAGCGCACCAAAACUAUGUAUACCUUGUUGAGUUGAUAAAUUACUACAAAGAAGCUCUUUUGUGUAUCAAAAACAAUCCAUCACAACUACUAGCAGCUAUUAGUAACAUCACAAUAACUUACGAGAGGCAGAAAGGUGGGGUUAUGAUCGUUAAACUAAAAAAUCAAGGAGAGCAAGUAUCUGAAGAUAAAUCGUUUGAAUCAUCAAAAAAUGAUGGAAAUUAAAACGUCAAUAUUAUUACUACUAAAGCAAAAUUUUCUUCUAUCAUCGUGGAAGACAACUAGGUACUCGACUAUCAAGAGCGAACAUCGAUUGUUAAUAACAAUAAGAAAUGAUGUAAUGAAAGAUCACACAAAAAUAAAGAAUCAAAUGAUUCUCCAAACCACAAUCUCAGAAGCACCCUAAAAUAAUAAGAUGAAAAAAAAAUAACGUGUUAUCAAAGAAUAGUUAAAGAAAUAACGAAAAGGAAGGAAACCGGAGCUGCCUCUCCGGUGAACUUUGAUAUGGAACCUAAUCUGUGUUCAAAAAACGACGAUAAUAAGUAUAUGAUAAGAAGACAAAGAAAAUUUAAAAGCAUCUAUAACAAUAAAGUUAUUUAACUGUGUCAAAAAUAUUAUAGAGACUAUAUAAUAUUUUCUCAAUAUGUAUUUAACAUAUAAUAAAUUUGGCUAUAAUUAAUUUUGAA